rnacentral:rRNA from 1 species
AUUGAACGCUGGCGGCAGGCCUAACACAUGCAAGUCGAGCGGAUGAAGGGAGCUUGCUCCUGGAUUCAGCGGCGGACGGGUGAGUAAUGCCUAGGAAUCUGCCUGGUAGUGGGGGAUAACGUCCGGAAACGGGCGCUAAUACCGCAUACGUCCUGAGGGAGAAAGUGGGGGAUCUUCGGACCUCACGCUAUCAGAUGAGCCUAGGUCGGAUUAGCUAGUUGGUGGGGUAAAGGCCUACCAAGGCGACGAUCCGUAACUGGUCUGAGAGGAUGAUCAGUCACACUGGAACUGAGACACGGUCCAGACUCCUACGGGAGGCAGCAGUGGGGAAUAUUGGACAAUGGGCGAAAGCCUGGUCCAGCCAUGCCGCGUGUGUGAAGAAGGUCUUCGGAUUGUAAAGCACUUUAAGUUGGGAGGAAGGGCAGUAAGUUAAUACCUUGCUGUUUUGGCGUUACCAACAGAAUAAGCACCGGCUAACUUCGUG